GACGAACGCUGGCGGCGUGCUUAACACAUGCAAGUCGAGCGGGUAAGGCCCUUUCGGGGGUACACGAGCGGCGGAACGGGUGAGUAACACGUGGGUGACCUGCCCUCAGCUCUGGGAUAAGCCUGGGAAACCGGGUCUAAUACUGGAUAUGACUCCAUGACGCAUGUUGUGGGGUGGAAAGCCUUGUGCGGCUGAGGAUGGGCCCGCGGCCUAGUCAGCUUGUUGGUGGGGGUGANGGCCUACCAAGGCGACGACGGGUAGCCGGCCUGAGAGGGCGACCGGCCACACUGGGACUGAGACACGGCCCAGACUCCUACGGGAGGCGGCAGUGGGGAAUCUUGCGCAAUGGGCGAAAGCCUGACGCAGCGACGCCGCGUGAGGGAUGACGCU
rnacentral:rRNA from 1 species